UACGGGGGGGGCAAGCGUUGUUCGGAAUUACUGGGCGUAAAGGGCUCGUAGGCGGCCCACUAAGUCAGACGUGAAAUCCCUCGGCUUAACCGGGGAACUGCGUCUGAUACUGGAUGGCUAGAGGUUGGGAGAGGGAUGCGGAAUUCCAGGUGUAGCGGUGAAAUGCGUAGAUAUCUGGAGGAACACCGGUGGCGAAGGCGGCAUCCUGGACCAAUUCUGACGCUGAGGAGCGAAAGCCAGGGGAGCAAACGGG
rnacentral:rRNA from 1 species